AUUGAACGCUGGCGGCAGGCCUAACACAUGCAAGUCGAACGAGUGGCGGACGGGUGAGUAAUGUCUGGGAAACUGCCCGAUGGAGGGGGAUAACUACUGGAACGGUUGCUAAACCCCCCUACCAUCGGAUGUGCCCAGAUGGGAUUAGCGAGUAGGUGGGGUAAUGGCUAACCUAGGCGACGAUCCCUAGCUGGUCUGAGAGGAUGACCAGCCACACUGGAACUGAGACACGGUCCAGACUCCUACGGGAGGCAGCAGUGGGGAAUAUUGCACAAUGGGCGCAAGCCUGAUGCAGCCAUGCCGCGUGUAUGAAGAAGGCCUUCGGGUUGUAAAGUACUUUCAGCGAGGAGGCGUUACUCGCAGAAGAAGCACCGGCUAACUCCGUGCCAGCAGCCGCGGUAAUUC
rnacentral:rRNA from 1 species